rnacentral:rRNA from 1 species
GACGAACCGUCCAAACGUUAUUCGGAAUCACUGGGCUUAAAGGGCGCGUAGGCGGCCGAGCGGGUCGCGGGUGAAAUCCUCCAGCUUAACUGGAUAACUGCCCUCGAUACCACUGCGGCUCGAGGAAGGAAGGGGCAAUCGGAACUGUCGGUGGAGCGGUGAAAUGCGUUGAUAUCGACAGGAACGCCGGUGGCGAAAGCGGAUUGCUGGUCCUUUUCUGACGCUGAGGCGCGAAAGCCAGGGGAGCAAACGGG